AAAUUGAAGAGUUUGAUCAUGGCUCAGAUUGAACGCUGGCGGCAGGCCUAACACAUGCAAGUCGAGCGGUAGCACAGAGAGCUUGCUCUCGGGUGACGAGCGGCGGACGGGUGAGUAAUGUCUGGGAAACUGCCUGAUGGAGGGGGAUAACUACUGGAAACGGUAGCUAAUACCGCAUAACGUCGCAAGACCAAAGUGGGGGACCUUCGGGCCUCAUGCCAUCAGAUGUGCCCAGAUGGGAUUAGCUAGUAGGUGAGGUAACGGCUCACCUAGGCGACGAUCCCUAGCUGGUCUGAGAGGAUGACCAGCCACACUGGAACUGAGACACGGUCCAGACUCCUACGGGAGGCAGCAGUGGGGAAUAUUGCACAAUGGGCGCAAGCCUGAUGCAGCCAUGCCGCGUGUGUGAAGAAGGCCUUCGGGUUGUAAAGCACUUUCAGCGGGGAGGAAGGCGUUAAGGUUAAUAACCUUAGCGAUUGACGUUACCCGCAGAAGAAGCACCGGCUAACUCCGUGCCAGCAGCCGCGGUAAUACGGAGGGUGCAAGCGUUAAUCGGAAUUACUGGGCGUAAAGCGCACGCAGGCGGUCUGUCAAGUCGGAUGUGAAAUCCCCGGGCUCAACCUGGGAACUGCAUUCGAAACUGGCAGGCUAGAGUCUUGUAGAGGGGGGUAGAAUUCCAGGUGUAGCGGUGAAAUGCGUAGAGAUCUGGAGGAAUACCGGUGGCGAAGGCGGCCCCCUGGACAAAGACUGACGCUCAGGUGCGAAAGCGUGGGGAGCAAACAGGAUUAGAUACCCUGGUAGUCCACGCCGUAAACGAUGUCGAUUUGGAGGUUGUGCCCUUGAGGCGUGGCUUCCGGAGCUAACGCGUUAAAUCGACCGCCUGGGGAGUACGGCCGCAAGGUUAAAACUCAAAUGAAUUGACGGGGGCCCGCACAAGCGGUGGAGCAUGUGGUUUAAUUCGAUGCAACGCGAAGAACCUUACCUGGUCUUGACAUCCACAGAACUUUCCAGAGAUGGAUUGGUGCCUUCGGGAACUGUGAGACAGGUGCUGCAUGGCUGUCGUCAGCUCGUGUUGUGAAAUGUUGGGUUAAGUCCCGCAACGAGCGCAACCCUUAUCCUUUGUUGCCAGCGGUCCGGCCGGGAACUCAAAGGAGACUGCCAGUGAUAAACUGGAGGAAGGUGGGGAUGACGUCAAGUCAUCAUGGCCCUUACGACCAGGGCUACACACGUGCUACAAUGGCAUAUACAAAGAGAAGCGACCUCGCGAGAGCAAGCGGACCUCAUAAAGUAUGUCGUAGUCCGGAUUGGAGUCUGCAACUCGACUCCAUGAAGUCGGAAUCGCUAGUAAUCGUAGAUCAGAAUGCUACGGUGAAUACGUUCCCGGGCCUUGUACACACCGCCCGUCACACCAUGGGAGUGGGUUGCAAAAGAAGUAGGUAGCUUAACCUUCGGGAGGGCGCUUACCACUUUGUGAUUCAUGACUGGGGUGAAGUCGUAACAAGGUAACCGUAGGGGAACCUGCGGUUGGAUCACCUCCUUACCUUAAAGAA
rnacentral:rRNA from 1 species